rnacentral:lncRNA from 1 species
CUUGGGAGCCGGGCCACGGACCAGAGGAGACGGAGGGCAGGAAGCCAAAGAGACGCCCAGGCACACCCUCCGCAAAGGCCGAGUCCGAGUGGUCGGAGAGGUUGACCGCAGGAGGGCAGUCUUCUGAACGAAAACGGAAACCUUGGAGCAGAGGACCAAGGAGGAACCCAGAGGCCGGGAAGCCCAUAGAAAAUUACUGAAAGGAGAGCGAACCCGGCCUAGACACAAAUCGAAACUGUACAGAGAUAGUCGCUUGGGGGAACCCGGCAACCUACCCCAUAUCUUUGGGAAGAAUUCCAGAGUGGAGGGGCCUGCUCCAUCUCCAGAAUGGCAUCUCUGGGAAAGGCUGCAUUUAGAAGCAAACUCAAAGUGCAAAUUAUAAUGGCCCAAGACUUACCCAACUCUCUAAGAAAUCAGUUUCAGAAGUCUGCCCUCUCCUUCCCUGGAUCUGCUUCACCCCCAGGAGGUACACCUGGGAAGAUGCAAGAUUCUGGAAGGGGUACCCUCAGCCUCAGAUCUCAGCCCCAAAACCAAAAGCUGUGGAGAACUUGAAGAUUCCGGGCUCCUCCCCUGCAUCGCCACCCCAAGAAAAGCAAAGGAUAUACUUCCAGUCACCAG